rnacentral:rRNA from 1 species
CCUACGGGUGGCAGCAGUGGGGAAUAUUGCACAAUGGGGGGAACCCUGAUGCAGCGACGCCGCGUGGGUGAAGGAGUAUUUCGGUAUGUAAAGCCCUAUCAGCAGGGAAGAACAAUGACGGUACCUGACUAAGAAGCACCGGCUAAAUACGUGCCAGCAGCCGCGGUAAUACGUAUGGUGCAAGCGUUAUCCGGAUUUACUGGGUGUAAAGGGAGCGUAGACGGCAAGGCAAGUCUGGAGUGAAAGCCCGUGGCCCAACCACGGGACUGCUUUGGAAACUGUGUUGCUGGAGUGCAGGAGGGGUAAGCGGAAUUCCUAGUGUAGCGGUGAAAUCCGUAGAUAUCUGGAGGAACAUCAGUGGCGAAGGCGACUAUCUGGCACAUAACUGACGCUGAGGAGCGAAAGCGUGGGUAGCAAACAGGAUUAGAUACCCCUGUAGUC